rnacentral:rRNA from 1 species
GGUGUGAAUUGCAGGAUCCCGCGAACCACCGAGUCUUUGAACGCAAGUUGCGCCCGGAGCCUUCUGGCCGAGGGCACGUCUGCCUGGGCGU